UGACCACACCAAUACAGAAUCGAUCAAUUAUUCGCCUUUCUCAAGCAAUAAAAAAGGCACAAACCCAAAUCUGUGAGCUUGUGCCCUUCCU
rnacentral:sRNA from 1 species